rnacentral:rRNA from 1 species
GAUGAACGCUGGCGGCGUGCCUAAUACAUGCAAGUCGAGCGAAUGGAUUAAGAGCUUGCUCUUAUGAAGUUAGCGGCGGACGGGUGGGUAACACGUGGGUAACCUGCCCAUAAGACUAGGAUAACUCCGGGAAACCGGGGCUAAUACCGGAUAACAUUUUGAACCGCAUGGUUCGAAAUUGAAAGGCGGCUUCGGCUGUCACUUAUGGAUGGACCCGCGUCGCAUUAGCUAGUUGGUGAGGUAACGGCUCACCAAGGCAACGAUGCGUAGCCGACCUGAGAGGGUGACCGGCCACACUGGGACUGAGACACGGCCCAGACUCCUACGGGAGGCAGCAGUAGGGAAUCUUCCGCAGUGGACGAAAGUCUGACGGAGCAACGCCGCGUGAGUGAUGAAGGCUUUCGGGUCGUAAAACUCUGUUGUUAGGGAAGAACAAGUGCUAGUUGAAUAAGCUGGCACCUUGACGGUACCUAACCAGAAAGCCACGGCUAACUACGUGCCAGCCGCCGCAGUAA